CUCCAGGGUCAUAGAGUUGAGGGUCGGGGGGUCCUCCAGGGUCAUAGAGUUGAGGGGUGGGGGUCCUCCAGGGUCAUAGAGUUGAGGGUCGGGGGUCCUCCAAGGGCAUAGAGUUGAGGGGUGGGGGGGUCCUCCAAGGGCAUAGAGAUGAGUGGGGGGGUCCUCCAAGGGCAUAGAGAUGAGGGUCGGGGUCCUCCAGGGUCAUAGAGAUGAGGGUGGGGGUCCUCCAGGGUCAUAGAGAUGAGGGGUGGGGGUCCUCCAAGGUCAUAGAGAUGAGGGUGGGGGUCCUCCAGGGUCAUAGAGUUGAGGGUCGGGGGGUCCUCCAGGGUCAUAGAGAUGAGUGUGGGGGUUCCUCCAGGGUCAUAGAGAUGAGGGUUGGGGGUCCUCCAAGGUCAUAGAGAUGAGGGUGGGGGUCCUCCAGGGGCAUAGAGUUGAGGGUCGGGGGUCCUCCAAGGUCAUAGAGUUGAGGGGUGGGGGGGGUCCUCCAAGGGCAUAGAGAUGAGGGUGGGGGUCCUCCAAGGGCAUAGAGUUGAGGGUUGGGGGGGUAAGAAGGGCCCCCAUUCAUCCCUAUGGGGUCCCAUUGACCCCCAUUGCCCCCCAUUGCCCCCCAUUGCCCCCCAUUCUCCCCCAUUG
ensembl:lncRNA